ACAGUACCGAAUAUUAUUUUUAUUGAGGCUACAAUGCUGGUAAUAUAGGGGAUGCAAGGGUUAUACAAAAUAAUAGGGUGUAAAGGAUUUGUAGGUGGUUUUUCAAGUUCGCCGUCAAAUUCCAGGGGUCAACCCUAGAAAGGUCGUGAAAACUACCAAGCUAGAGUGCAGUAGGGGUAAAGGGAAUUUCUGGUGGAGUGGUGAAAUACGUAGAGAUCGAAAAGAACACUAAUGGCAAAAGCAUUCUACUGGGCCGACACUGACAUUGAGAGACAAAAGCUAGGGGAGUGAAUGAGAUUAGAUACCUCAGUAGUCUCAGUUGUAAACGAUAGAUAUUAGGCGUUGUACGUAUCAACCCAUGCAGUAUAGCUAACAUAAUGUAUCCCACUAGGGAGUACGUUCGCAAGAAUAAAACUCAAAGGAAUUGAUGGGGGCCGGCACAUGCAGUAGAGCAAGUGGUUUAAUUCAAUACAAAGUGAAAAACCUUACUAGUGCUUGAAAUAUGAAUUGUUGAGUUUCUCCCUUCAUUGUUUCUGAUAGGCCUUGUUUCUUUCACAGGCGAAAUAAGAAGGAAAAUCUCCUGGGUGAGCAAGAACAAGCGACAUUCAGUAA
rnacentral:ncRNA from 1 species